rnacentral:rRNA from 1 species
UACAGAGGGGGCAAGCGUUAUUCGGAAUUAUUGGGCGUAAAGGGCGCGUAGGCGGCUUGGCAAGUGGAAGGUGAAAUCCCUCGGCUUAACCGAGGAACUGCCUUCCAAACUGCUUGGCUUGAGACCGGGAGAGGUGAGUGGAAUUCCCAGUGUAGCGGUGAAAUGCGUAGAUAUUGGGAGGAACACCAGUGGCGAAGGCGGCUCACUGGACCGGUACUGACGCUGAUGCGCGAAAGCGUGGGGAGCAAACGGG